GCCUGGAGAAUCCAAUGGACAGAGGAACCUGGUGGGCUACCCUCCAUAAGGUCGCAAAGAGUAGGACACUCCUGGGCAACUAACACACACACACACAAAAACACAUGAUAAAAAUGUCCCUAGGAAACUUCACAUGAACAAAACUGCAUUCUAAGACUUUGGGAAAGAAGAAAAAGGACCUGAGAUUUAUAGUAGGCAUGCCAUUUGUGUGCAAUAGGAUGGUCCAUAGUAGAGACCUUCCAAAUAGCUGUAUGUCAUUGUUCUAGCUUAGAUCAGCCGCCUGGAUGACAAAAGUGAUGCAAACCACAGCUCGCCGCGCAAAUCAGGAAGCUCGCGGUCCAUUAGGCUGGGAGGAUUGAGAGAGUGAAUGUGUGUGAAGCCCUGAGAACAGGUCCCAGCAUACUAUCAUUUCGGGCACAGAGGAAGAGCAUGGGCAGCUGGCCCGGGACACACCGUGUCACCUGAACCAACCAGGAGAGGCCCCUGCUCACCCUUGAAGAUGCACUUGCCUUUGUCACAUACAGAAGGUGCAGACCUACUGUCCCUCCCCAUGGGUUCUUUCAGCUCACUGGUCCACACACAGUGAGCUGAGGGCCUUGGUACCCAGCAUGGUACAUGUCCACAGUCUUCAGGAGUCUGCAAGAAGGGUCUGUGCCCAACUCAGCCAGGAUCUGUUUUCCAAGAGGUACCCUGGGACCACAGUGGGGACCCACAGUCACAGUUGUCAUCUGACGGCACCCUACAACGACUGUGAUAAGAAGCCACUGUUUCCAAGUCUCGUUCCCCAUCCUGUAGGGCAGGAGCCUGAGGCAUCUCAGCGUAGGGCUGCUUUGGAGAUGAAGACACCAGGCAAGCUGACCCACCACCUUGGCCAGUGACACCUGCUUUGCUUCCGCCAUAAUCAGCGCAUCAGAAGAGCAAUCUCAGGCAGGUGCCCAGAACUGGGGAGGAAUUUACCUCAAAGAGCAGUGCCCUCCGACCAGCCAAUACUGUAUCUCCCUCCACUCAUCUUCAGAGGUGCCUUUCUCAGCGCAAAUCCAUGAGCUGGCAGCACAACCAGGCUGUCUAAGCAGGGGGAAGCCAAGAAGGAGAUGCCUUCGCUCCUCUGCCCAUCACCUGCCAGAGAACCAGGAUACUUGGUGGCAGCUGGCUUACCUUUCCCCAAACAGCCAUCUGUUGUGACAUCACUGUCAGCUGAGCCUGACUCGUCACUUGUAUCAACCGGCUUCCAGAGUGUGCCGUGUGCCCAGGGUCCUCAACGUCCUUGUCCCUAUGCCCCUGAAUGUGCUCUCUCUGCCUUGCAUCAUGGCUUCUGUGUAGCCGCCAUGCAGAGAAUCGUGUGUGAUUUCUGAAGCCAAGUGUCAUGAAGGGCACUGUGGCCUCUGCUUUGGCCUCUUAGAUCUCCACCCACCACGUCAGAAGAGCACUCAAUCAGCCCUUGGGGAGAGGUCCUCAUGGAGAGAAGCUAAGCCCUCCCGCCAAUGGCCAGGUGACCUUUGGAUACAGGUCCUGCUCUCCUGAAUGAGUUUUCCAAGUUCCAUAAUCAGCUUUGAAUAUCCUCAGAGUCCCUGUGGGCGCAUGGCAGCCACCCUCUCCAAUCCCCCAGCCUUCUGGCUUGUUAUCAGCUCCAUGCUGUCUCUUUGCAUUAGAGUGACAAGAAGCAGCACAAAGCCGCCGACAGGAGUCUGGAGCUGUAAUUUGCACUGACAUUCACUGGUGUUAUCCACUUAGUGCCUGUAGGUUACGGCAGCAUCACCGGAGCUGUUUAAAAUGUAACAAACCAAUAAACUCCCAGGGAGCUGAAGGAUGCCUACCCCUGCCGUGGUUCCUGCAGUGCAGCCAGGAAAGUUGUUAAAUGCAGCCCAUCUGGUCUGCUUGGAACCCUUGGAUGGAAAGAGGACCCCUUCAAACAUCUGAACUUGAUCUCUACAAAAGAGAAGUCUUGGGACCAGAAAGCCCCCAGGGUAUGCAGAAAUGACUCUCUAAAUGUCUCUUUGAGGAAACAGGGCCCCUGACCCAUCACACUGACUCAGCCUGCCCACCCCCACCAUUUUGCUCGUGGGCUCUCUUGAUGUAAAUGGAAGAAGACGAAAAACAUUCUCUUUUCUAGGUCCUCCUGGAAGAGGGCAUGGCAACCCACUCCAGUAUUCUUGCCUGGAGAAUCCCCAAGGACAGAGGAGCCUGGCAGGCUGCAGUCGAUAGGAUCGCAAAGAGUUGCAUACGACUGAAGUGACUUAGCACACACCCACGCUCUAGGUCCUGCCUGACCUCCCAUCUCUGGGUGCUGCAUUGAUCAUUUAGCAAGCACUGGUCUUGACUUCCUCCUCCUGCAGGGGUUUGCCUGAAGAGAGCCCCCAGAUGGGGAGCCUGUAAGAAGAAUUGCAUGCUUAUGUGAAUACUUGGAAGCUUACUUGGCCAGGUCCCAUAGUUGUGCUGUCUUUGCUCAAGAAAAUUCCAAGCUGAAAUUCUAUAUUCCAGCCCCUGUGGAGGGUGAAACAGGAAAAGUGAGAGCAAUCACAUCCCUCCAUUCCUAGGACCAAAGACUCAACGAUCAAAACAGACCCUGCCAGGAGGUGGUUCCUGGAGGAUCUUUCUGGGGACAGAGUGUUGAAGAGUGUCCUGCCUAUGUUUUCCUCUAAGAGCUUUAUAGUUUCUGGUCUUACGUUAGGGUCUUUAAUCCAUUUUGAGUUUAUUUUUGUAUAUGGAAAAAUAAAUGCCACAUUCAGAUUUAAAGCCAUGGAGAAGCUUCACCAUCCCCAAGCCUUGGGUUUGUCAGCACCUUUUUGCUGGCAUAGCCCUUUCCCAGUCAUUACCUCUCUGAGCCCUGACACCCUUAUGAGGGCAGACAGCACAGUUGUCAUCCCACCCUUUGGCAGGUCAAUCCAGCCGGAAGGGCCUGUCCAGAGCGAUGGGGGUGGUGACAGAAACCUCACUUGUGGCCUCGAUUCUUCCCACCGGAACCAGCUGUUAAGCAGUGGGCCUGGAGCCAGAUUCUGGCUUUGAGAGCCCAGGUCUGGAAUGCCAGUCCUUGCCUUCCACAGUCUACCUGGUGGAGACCAAAGAUUCAUUCCUUAAAAUCUUAUUAAACAAGGAUGACGUGCUGGGAGGUACUGGUGACACAGCUGGGAAAGGUAGACAAGGUUGGGUCUCCCUCCAGGGGGCUUCCCUUCUGGAGGUGGCAUCAGAUGGCAACAAGUGCUCGAGGCCAAAGGACCAGGUGGGAGGCGGGGCUGCCUUAGGGACGGUGAACAGGAAGCUCAUUCUGGAGAGGGGGUGCCUGACCAGCCCGCCUCCUGUCUCCUGUGGGCCCCCAGCUUUGCAGCAACCGCUGAGCUCCAAGAUGGGAAUGAGCUUGCUGUCCAAGGGCCAGCAGGUCAGAGUGUACCAACAAGGUGGAGAGAAGGGAGAUGCAGUCCAAGUGCCCAGCAGGCUCAGUCCGUGGUCAAGAGCCUGGAUUUUAUUUGAAUGAUGACAGGGAAGCUGCUGGAAAGUCAGUCUUAGCCCAGGUUCUCACCUUCUCCCGUAAAGGUCAUCAGACAGAGAGGAUAGGGGCUGAGGCAGAGUGGAGAGUGCAGAGACCCACAGGUUACAGCCAGGUGGCCCCUUGCGGAAGAGGGUGUGUGAGGCGCCUGGCUGCUGCUGUCUGCUGUCCAAAGGUUGGCGCCUGAAGUUUGGGGUUUUCCCAGGAUGUAUGCUUCUAUUUCCUGAAUCUCAUGUGCUUCUCCAGAAAGCUAGGAGAGGUCCUGAUGAGGUCUCAGAUCCUGCAGCAGUCAUUUUUAGGUCCCGAUGACCUUUUAAUGCAGGCCAGGAUGGUCCGGUGCGCCUAUGCAGAAGGCCAAGAAAAGACAGUUCAAACUGUCCUGGGGAUGAACAGACCCGAGCCCUGGCCCAGAGACUGACUUGGGAGAAAGUCAGUCGGGCACCUUGACCAUGAGCUGGAUGAAGACAUUUUGACCAGUGGUUCUCAGAGUGUGGCCCGCGCAUCAGCAUCACGUGGGAACUUGUUAGAAACGCUAAAGCAGAGACUCAGCUUUCUAUAUCUGAACAUGUACUCUAGAUGAUUCUCAUACUCAAUAAAGCUUCAAAGCCACUCUGUUAGAAGAAAGCUGGGUGUGGAUGGUUAAAAAAAAAACACCUUGCUUUGGCUGAGACUUGAUUCAAAUUAGAGUAAAAACAGAAAACUUCAUGGCAGGGGGAUGUGGGAUGUAGUCUCACAAACUCAACCAAACACAGAGACUAAUAUAUCCAGGUUAUAACUUCUCAACCCAACAAAACCACGUCAUGAAACUUUACUAAUAAAGAGUAAUCUCGGGC